rnacentral:rRNA from 1 species
AUCGCGGAGCACACCCUCGUUCGUCCCCGUCGUCCGCCAGUGCCAGUGGCAACCAAUUCGGUCUCCCCUUCCCCAAAUCUCGCUCCACAGUCCGGCUCCGGCUCCGGCUCCACACGGCGCGCCGACGGUCAACCUUGGCGCCUUGUCUCGCGUCCGCGGCAGCUCGGCGCAACGGUGGGCGCCUCCGCCGGACAAGCAGUAGCGUUCCAGUAGCAAGGCGACCCCGCUAUUAUCAGGCACUCUCUCGACUGGCUCGGAGCAAUUUGCCACACCGCCUGCUGAUUGCGCCCGAUUGUUAGGUUGGGGGCAUGUCGAGCGCGGUGGUGAACGGGCUGGCCGGCGCCGGCGGCGGCAUCAUCGCCCAGAUCAUCACAUACCCCCUCCAGACCGUGAACACCCGGCAGCAGACAGAGAGGUCAGCGAAGAAGAAGAAGGCCGGUGGCGGUGGCUCCGACGCUUCCACCCUCUUCCAGAUGCUCCAGCUGGUCCAAACGGAAGGCUGGGGUGGGUUGUACAGCGGCCUCAAACCCUCACUUAUUGGCACCGCUGCCUCGCAGGGAAUCUAUUACUACUUCUACCAGCUUCUCAAGAACAAGGUGGAAGAUGUGGCAGCUGCUCGUGGGAAAAAGGGCCUAGGGGAUGGCACUGUUGGGAUGUUUUCUUGGCUUGUUAUUGCAGCUGUUGCUGGGUCAAUCAAUGUUCUUCUUACAAUUCCAAUAUGGGUUCUUGUCACACGUAUGCAGACACAUACACAGGCAGAAAGGAAGGUGAUAGAGUCCAAGAGGGAGCUUUUGCUUAAGGAAAUAUCCAGGGCCAAUCCAAUGGAUGCUCAUAUUCUUAAGGAUAGAUUAGCUAAGCUUGAUUCUGAAAAACCUCGCCCAUAUGGCACACUUCAAGCAAUCCGGGAGGUCUAUCGUGAAUCAGGCAUAAGUGGAUUCUGGAAAGGGCUUAUUCCGACACUAAUUAUGGUAUGCAAUCCAUCAAUUCAGUUUAUGAUAUAUGAAACACUGUCAAAGCAUCUCAAGUCAAAGCGGUCUGGAAAGCGAUUCCCCAAGAAGAAUAUCACUGCUAUGGAGGUAUUCUUAAUAGGUGCAAUGGCAAAGCUGGGAGCUACUCUUGUGACCUACCCGUUGUUAGUGGUCAAGUCUAGGUUGCAGGCAAAACAGGAAAUUGGCAGGAACGCGGCGUCCAGAUAUACAGGUACAUUAGAUGCAAUAUUGAAGAUGAUUCGCUACGAGGGAUUGCAUGGAUUUUACAAAGGAAUGGGUACAAAGAUUGUACAGAGUGUUCUUGCCGCCUCGGUCCUUUUUAUGGUGAAGGAGGAGCUGGUUAAGUUUGUAGUUCUUUUAGUUGCCAGGAGCAGGACUCUGCUUCUUACUAGAUCUAACAAACUAUAGAUCUUGUUCUCUGAUCAGAUUAUUUUGUUGUCUCCACAUGUAGUAUUCCUUUUGAAAAUGCACUUUCAGUUCUUUAUUAGUCAGAAAAUCUUAAGUAUCUCUAAUUGCUAAAGAUGUUCUUCUUUGUGGCGUGAGUUCCUCUCUUCGAACCAUCUGUGAACUCUGUAACAUCUGCUACCUUUGAAAUAUAUUCAGGUGGGGAGUCUUUCCCCCCGGUGACCAUUUCAAAAAUAAUUACUGCCUCAGGAAAU